ensembl:snoRNA
AUUUUUUUAUGUCAGGGGUUUUAUUUAACAAUAAAAACUGCAGUCUUGUGUGUGAGAUGUGCCUCCCUCAAAUCUUUUUACCACACUGGCACAUAACUUUUCUGACA